GGGAAUUUGUUCAUGCACACUGUUAGGGAUUAAAAACUGGUAGUUAACACCAGUGGAAUUAAAUCAGCAUGGUGCCGAGUGUAGAUGUUCCACCUGAGGAAAGUUACCAGCAUAAAUAGAGACAUGGUGAAGAGCAGCUAGGCAUUGUGAGUUCUCCUAAGUGUUGCUGUUUUGGGCUGCUGAUUCUCCUGGGGGAGCUCAUCACGGCUUGCUUUCCCAGUAUGAGUUUGGCCAUUAUCAUCAGAGGAGCUCGGGACCUUGUUGAGUUCAUCACCAGCUCAACUUCAGUGAACCAUCCCGGAAGAUUUCCCGAAGCAUCCUUCCCUACAAACAAUAGACCAAGCCUGGUGAUGCUCAGUAUUUCCUUAGGCCCUGAACACUGACAAGAGAAAAAGGAACAGCCCUCAAGGGAAUUUUGAAGUGUCCUUGAAGAGUGUGAAAUUAAUAUUGGUAUCUCCAGGCUUUUUAAGGUUGUCUUCUGAUAUAUGAAAAAUGCCUGCGUGGAUUAAAAAUCCAUCAUCCAAUGGAUACUAAUGGGAGCAGGACCUGGGAAGGUAAAGCACCUCAGACAGACAGUGUAGCACACCCAAGCCUUCCCAGCAGAACGCUAAGGCACCUUAGACCCGCAGCAAAUAAACUUCAGCAGGACACUUACACAAAGACACACCCACCCAUUAUCUCCGCUCCCUACAGAGACAAGGAAUGGCUCUGGGGUCUCUUUUUGAGCCUGAGGGUUGUAUUUAUCCUGAAGUGAUCCUACCCUUCUUCAGCACUGCUUCAUCUGAGGAUAGCAAACAUGUUAUUUCUGGCUUUAGGAGUCGCACUGUCACUUACAUCCAUUAUGGAGAAGAUUAGCUGCUUUUUUAAAACUCUAGAGAAAAGAUGGGCAUGAUACAAACCUUGAGCGCUGGAAAGUGCCACCUGGAGACAAGAAGCACAUUAAAGUCCAAUUCCUAAGGGAAAGGGGGUAAAAUUGGAAUCUUUAUUGCUCUUGAACAAUGGUGUUCAAAUACAGGGCACUGACAUACUUUUUAAUUUUUAUUAUUGAAUAUCAUGAAUUCUUAGUCUUGCUUAUAUAAACCUAGAUAUAAGAGUAAAGUUAAACCAAUCUAGACUAUUUGCAUAUAAGUCUUCAAAUGUCCUGUUGCUUCAAAGUUUUCCUGUCAAUUGCUUUAACUCCUACCCCAAUUUGAGUCCUAAUGUAUAAUUCUGAGAAUAACAAACUGGCUAACUUGCUUGUCUAUUGUUGGGAAAUGAGCUUUGUAUCUGAUUGAUGAUUAGACAGUUCUAGAGUACCUAUCUUGACAGACGAACUCUAGAAUAUAGCAGUUCUAUUAUGGCCUAAUUUCUAUAUCAUAUCAUUUACCCUUAUAAAUUCUAUAAAUUCAGUGUAUCUCGGGACAUUCACAGAUAUUUGCAAAGAUCACAAUGGUCAAUGUAAAAUAAUUUAAUUAUUUUAAAAAGAAGCCCCUUCCCUGUCAUCUGUCAUCUCUGCCUCUCUUGUGGUUUAGACUGAGAGUGGCCCCCAAAAGAUUCAAGUGUUCAGUUUCAGAAGAUGACUGGAUCGUGGGGGUGCUAUGCUCAGACAAAAAUGCUGUUAGGAAGUGAGACCUGGUCAGAAGAGGAGGAGGAGGAGAUUCACUGGGAGGUUUAACCUAGAAGAGCAUAUAUCUCACCAACUCACUGUCUAUCUACCUAUGAUCUAUUAUCUGUUUGUAUCUACUCUCUGUCUCUAUUAUCUCUCCAUUAUCUAUUAUCCAUCCAUCUACCUAAUCCUUCUCAGGAUAUUCCCCUCACUUCACUCAGUUUUGCAUCACUUUUGCCACUUUCUGAAGCAGUUCUGAAAGUUCUCUUUCACACAGUCUUUGAUAGAUAUCCAAACUCUGGUGAACCUUGCUGUUGACUGGCAUGUAAAGAAAAGGAAGCUCAUUCAAAGCAGCCAGGAUGUCCUGCCCCUUUACACCGGACCCAGCAUCAUGUGACUUCCGGUUCUUCCCCGCAGUCAGAGUGACCAUGAAAAUGAAGCAACUUGAAGAUUUGAAUAUGGAUAUUGAGGCAGCCUCCACGACAAACUAAAGAUACUCAUGGAAGAGGACUUGCAGCAAUGAUGGGGGACGCAUUUAGGGAAAUUAACACUGAUGUGUCUUUUACAUUGUGAAAUUUACAUCUUCCCUCUGUUUUUGAUCAUGCUAUUUAUGCAUGGAAUAUGUGUCUAUUCAUGCGCACAUUUGGGGUAGACAUACGUUUUCAUUUCUCCUGAUUAUGUACCUAGUGGCAGCACGGUUAGGUCUUGUUAGUCUACCAAUGUUUCACGCUUGAGCAGAUUCCUGUCUUUUUCCCAGUAAUUUUUCCACCACUUUUUUUCUUGGUCCAUGGAAUAUGAGGGCUAUUUUUCCUUGUCUUCACCUUACUUAUUUUUGUUCCCAACAUCUUCAAGGUUAUGAAGCAAUAUUUAGUUAUUUUAAUCUGUAUCUUCCCAAUGACUAAUGAUAUUGAACAUAUUUGUAUGGGUGUAUCAGUCAGCUGUAUAACUUCUUUGAAGAAAUGUUCGCUCAGGUGAUGUGUUUUUAUUAUUGAGUCCUGAGUUCUUUGUACCUUCCUUACACUAAUUCUUUAUUGGCUAUAUUAUUUCCAAGUAUUUUGUUCCA